rnacentral:rRNA from 1 species
ACUGCUCAGUAACACGUGGUCAACAUACCCAGAGGACGUGGAUAACCUCGGGAAACUGAGGAUAAACCGCGAUAGACCAUAAUGUCUGGAAUGAUUUAUGGUUCAAAUCUACAUGGCCUCUGGAUGGGUCUGCGGCCUAUCAGGUAGUAGUGGGUGUAAUGUACCUACUAGCCAACAACGGGUACGGGUUGUGAGAGCAAGAGCCCGGAGAUGGAUUCUGAGACAUGAAUCCAGGCCCUACGGGGCGCAGCAGGCGCGAAAACUUUACAAUGCGGGAAACCGUGAUAAGGGGACACCGAGUGCCAGCAUCAUAUGCUGGCUGUCCGGGUGUGUAAAAUACACCCGUUAGCAAGGGCCGGGCAAGACCGGUGCCAGCCGCCGCGGUAACACCGGCGGCCCGAGUGGUGAUCGUGAUUAUUGGGUCUAAAGGGUCCGUAGCCGGUUUGGUCAGUCCCCCGGGAAAUCUGACGGCUCAACCGUUAGGCUUUCGGGGGAUACUGCCAGGCUUGGAACCGGGAGAGGUAAGAGGUACUACAGGGGUAGGAGUGAAAUCUUGUAAUCCCUGUGAGACCACCUGUGGCGAAGGCGUCUUACCAGAACGGGUUCGACGGUGAGGGACGAAAGCUGGGGGCACGAACCGGAUUAGAUACCCGGGUAGUCCCAGCCGUAAACGAUGCUCGCUAGGUGUCAGGCAUGGCGCGACCGUGUCUGGUGCCGCAGGGAAGCCGUGAAGCGAGCCACCUGGGAAGUACGGCCGCAAGGCUGAAACUUAAAGGAAUUGGCGGGGGAGCAC